UCAAGGAGUUCGGAGAGAACCCGAGCGGC
rnacentral:piRNA from 1 species